rnacentral:lncRNA from 1 species
CAGAACCUUCCUGAUGACCCCUGGGGGUUCGUGCUGAGGAUGCUGGGAGCAGAGAAAUGAAGAGCUCCUCCUGCCCCCCUCCCUGGUUCCAGGGUCAGCUUAGGGGCCGCUGAGUUCUGUUGGGGAAAGUGACACCAUCACGCCCUUUGGAACCACCAUGCUACCUUCUCUUCCUGGCACUCGGUGCUGCUGAACAGUCACACCGCACUCCCUAUGAACGGUGCCCCGUGAACCUCUGCAAAGGAUGGGUGUGGCUUCAUUGUCAAGAGAAUCUGGAGGCCAUCCUGUGAGAACACCCUCAUAGCCAGCCCGCAGAUGCAUCCACCCACCAGCAGCUACCUCCUCUGGCUGCUGUGCCCCAUCCGGGCCCUUCAGGUUGAAGGAGGCGUCUGUCUGCCUUUGCCUUUCUCUCAGGCCCAUCCCACUUUCUAGGAAAGGAUUCCACCCCUCUCAUCAUCUCAGAUACCUUAAGGCAUAGGUCAUCCGCCACCCCCUAACCCACCACUGCCCUACUCCAGCUUCCCUCUCCCUUCCUUCCUGUCAGCUCUGAAAUAUGCUUGUAUUAACCUUAAAAGAAA